rnacentral:rRNA from 1 species
UGGAGCUCGAAAGGGUUGCAGUGAAAAGGUGGCUGCGACUGUUUAUUAAAAACACAGCACUCUGCAAACACGAAAGUGGACGUAUAGGGUGUGACGCCUGCCCGGUGCUGGAAGAUUAAAUGAUGGGGUGCAAGCUCUUGACUGAAGUCCCAGUAAACGGCGGCCGUAACAAUAACGGUCCUAAGGUAGCGAAAUUCCUUGUCGGGUAAGUUCCGACCCGCACGAAUGGCGUAACGAUGGCCACACUGUCUCCUCCUGAGACUCAGCGAAGUUGAAAUGUUUGUGAAGAUGCAAUCUCCCCGCUGCUAGACGGAAAGACCCCGUGAACCUUUACUGUAGCUUUGCAUUGGACUUUGAACAGACUUGUGUAGGAUAGGUGGGAGGCUUUGAAGUGGGAACGCCAGUUCUCAUGGAGCCGUCCUUGAAAUACCACCCUGGUGUGUUUGAGGUUCUAACCUUAGGUCCGUAAUCCGGAUCGGGGACCGUGC